UCUUGGUCAUUUAGAGGAAGUAAAAGUCGUAACAAGGUAUCUGUAGGUGAACCUGCAGAUGGAUCAUUUCGAUGAAAACCUUUUUUCUUGAGGUGUGGCUCGCACCUGUCUAACUAAAUCGAGCUACCACAUUUUAACACGGUUGCAUCGGUUGGCUGUCAAACAGUGCGCGCGGCGAAUUCAUUUUCGCCCGCGCUCUGCGAGACGGUCGACACUUUACCAAAAACACUGUUGAUACCAUAGGAUUUGAACGUAGAUGAAACUCGACUGGUAAUGCGGUCGUCUAAAAUCUAAAAACAACUUUUGGCAACGGAUCUCUUGGUUCUCCCAUCGAUGAAGAACGCAGCGAAUUGCGAUAAGUAAUGUGAAUUGCAGAAGUGAAUCAUCGAAUCUUUGAACGCACCUUGCGCUCCCGGCAGAUCUAAUCUGGGGAGCAUGCCUGUUUGAGGGCCGCGAAUUGUUUCGAACGACAGCUUUCUUAUUUAGUUGAGCGAGCUGGCGGAUCGGUAUUGAGGGUCUUGCCAUUUUCCACGGUGGCUCCCUCGAAAUGCAUUAGCGCAUCCAUUCGAUAGGCAAGACGGACGAAAGCUCGUUAUUUCGCCCACGUCUUUCCCUGCCGGGUUUUGAUAAUAUCAGGACUUCGGAGAGGAAAGGCGCUGGGUCGAGGAGCUGGACGCGACGUUUUGCUGGUUGGAGUGCUUCUGAACCCCGCCCAUGCCUCCUUCUCCGGAGAGGAAUGGAUUUAAUUUCAAUUCAUCGGGCUCAGAUUGGUAGGACUACCUGCUGAACUUAAGCAUAUCAUAAGCGGAGGA
rnacentral:rRNA from 1 species